GUGUCGAUUAUAUUUCGAUCUUCUUGCAAAAACUGACAUCCCGACUGUAAUUUUAAAGCGACAUCGAAUAUACUUCGACUUUUAUUGUAAAAGCCAGAAGAUCGACCACCUCGACAUCGAAUAUACUUCGACUUUCACUAUAAAAGUCAGAAGAUCGACGAUCUCGACACUGAAUAUACUUCGACUUCUACUGUAAAAGUCAAAAGAUCGACUAUCUCGACAUCGAUGACAUAUCGGUUUUUUCAAAAAACUGAUCUAUCAACUUCAACUGGAGGCCAGCGCCGAUGACGCAGAUUCUCUCUACAAAAGCCGUAUUGCCCCCAU
rnacentral:lncRNA from 1 species